rnacentral:rRNA from 1 species
AUUGAACGUCGGCGGCAGGCUUAACACAUGCAAGUCGAGCGGAGUGAUGGUGCUUGCACUAUCACUUAGCGGCGGACGGGCGAGUAAUGCCUAGGAAUCUGCCUAUUAGUGGUGGACAACAUCUCGAAAGGGAUGCUAAUACCCCAUACGUCCUACGGGAGAAAGCAGGGGACCACUUGUGACCUUGCGCUAAUAGAUGAGCCUAAGUCGGAUUAGCUAGUGGGUGGGGUAAAGGCCUACCAAGGCGACGAUUGGUAGCGGGUCUGAGAGGAUGAUCCGCCACACUGGGACUGAGAAACGGCCCAGACUCCUACGGGAGGCAGCAGUGGGGAAUAUUGGACAAUGGGGGGAACCCUGGUCCAGCCAUGCCGCGUGUGUGAAGAAGGCCUUAUGGUUGUAAAGCACUUUAAGCGAGGAGGAGGCUUACCUAGUUAAUACCUGGGAUAAGUGGACGUUACUCGCAGAAUAAGCACCGGCUAACUCUGUGCCAGCCGCCGCCGUAA